GCUCUGCUACCUAAUUAUUCCCUAGUGUUGUCUUCAUUCUGUAUUGCACCAAUCACAUCAUCUUUUUUAUGAGCUUGAGUGUGAGAACGACAAGGAUGUUGGCAUAGCCUGCUUGACUUAUGGCAGUGGAAACGGUUUGAAGAAACUCGACUCAAUAGGAUCCCAAACAUGGUUCCUACGCCAAAUGCAACACCUAUCUUUAGGUUACCCAUUUGAUAUUUUUGUUGAUAUUAAUUAACCAAAGGCUGAAUCUUAUGACUUAUCUUAAAGAUAAUUGAGC
rnacentral:lncRNA from 1 species